UACGAAGGUCCCAAGCGUUGUUCGGAAUCACUGGGCGUAAAGGGUGCGUAGGCGGUUUGGUAAGUCAGAUGUGAAAUCCCGGGGCUCAACCCCGGAACUGCAUCCGAUACUGCCAGACUAGAGGACUGGAGAGGUGACUGGAAUUCUCGGUGUAGCAGUGAAAUGCGUGGAUAUCGAGAGGAACACUCGUGGCGUAAGCGAGUCACUGGACAGUAUCUGACGCUGAGGCACGAAGGCCAGGGUAGCGAAA
rnacentral:rRNA from 1 species